CCGUCGAUGAAGAGGAUCAGAUUACUGGCUGAACUGGCUGACUAGACACAAACACACCGUCGAUGAAGAGGAUCAGACUACUGGCUGAACUGGCUGACUAGACACAAACACACCGUCGAUGAAGAGGAUCAGACUACUGGCUGAACUGGCUGACUAGACACAAACACACCGUCGAUGAAGAGGAUCAGACUACUGGCUGAACUGGCUGACUAGACACAAACACACCGCUGAUGAAGAGGAUCAGACUACUGGCUGAACUGGCUGACUAGACACAAACACACCGUCGAUGAAGAGGAUCAGACUACUGGCUGAACUGGCUGACUAGACACAAACACACCGUCGAUGAAGAGGAUCAGACUACUGGCUGAACUGGCUGACUAGACACAAACACAUCGCUGAUGAAGAGGAUCAGACUACUGGCUGAACUGGCUGACUAGACACAAACACACGAGGAUCAGACUACUGGCUGAACUGGCUGACUAGACACAAACACACGAGGAUCAGACUACUGGCUGAACUGGCUGACUAGACACAAACACACCAGGAUCAGACUACUGGCUGAACUGGCUGACUAGACACAAACACACGAGGAUCAGACUACUGGCUGAACUGGCUGACUAGACACAAACACACCGCUGAUGAAGAGGAUCAGAUUACUGGCUGAACUGGCUGACUAGACACAAACACACCGCUGAUGAAGAGGAUCAGACUACUGGCUGAACUGGCUGACUAGACACAAACACACCGUCGAUGAAGAGGAUCAGACUACUGGCUGAACUGGCUGACUAGACACAAACACACCGUCGAUGAAGAGGAUCAGACUACUGGCUGAACUGGCUGACUAGACACAAACACAUCGCUGAUGAAGAGGAUCAGAUUACUGGCUGAACUGGCUGACUAGACACAAACACAUCUCUAUGAACAUACACUAAGUGGACAAAACAUUAAGAACACCUGCUCUUUUCCAUCACAUAGACUGACCGACCAGGUGAAUCCAGGUGAAUCCAGGUGAAAGCUCUGAUCCCUUAUUGACAUCACUUUUUAAAGAUUUUUUUUUUUUAAAGCCUUGAGACAAUAGAGUACCACAGUAUAAUACCCAUAAAACCUAGCGGUCAAAUAGGAAAACGGUUCCAACAUUCCUUUUUCCACGUAGGGGAUUUUAGAAAUACUUAAAAUAAGGACUGUGUUUCGUGUAGGUUUACCCUGGCGUGACGUUUUGAUAACUGUGUAAAUCUCUCUCUAAGACAAAGGUGACUUGGAUCAAUAUAUUCCCCUUGUGUAAACGUUUCUAAAAUCUCUGAAUGGAACCAUUUCCUUGUUCGACCGCUAGGCUUUAUGGGUAUUAUGACACCUCCGCUGUGGGGCCUCUAUUGAGACAUGGAUUCAGAGGCUGAAUGGGCAAAGACCAAAAUGUAAGUGUCUUUGAAUGGGGUGCUUGGGUUUUUCACUCUCAACAGUUUCCUGUCUGUAUCAAAAGGACAUCCAGCCAAUUUGACACAACUGUAGGAAGUAUUAGAGUCAACAUGGGCCAGCGUCCCUGUCGAACGCUUUAGACACCUUGUAGAGUCCAUGUCCCGACUAGUUGAGGCUGUUCUGACGGCAAGAGGGGGAGAAAACUCAAUAUUAGGAAGGUGUUCUUAAUGUUUUGUCCACUCAGUGUAUGUAAUUGCAAUUUUUCUAAAUACUUUUGACAUGAUAAAAACAAGUUUUAUAUUCAUAUAAUUAGUUUGUCGAUGUACAUAAUAUUUUCUACAAUAUUUUUUCAGUAAAACAACUUCUGAAAGUACAGCAGUAUAGCAUGGAUUUUUCUGUAACUGUGCAGUUUGACAGCAACGCCACAAGGGUUUGCUUGAGACCUCAUUAAAACCAAUAAUGCCAAUAGGUGUCCUUACAGCGACAACCAGGCUUUAAAGAAGAGGCAAUACAGUAACUUUUUUGGGGGCGAUCGCGACCAAAUUCACAUAGAAAUGUGAGUUACAGAUCUAUCAAAUCUACUUGAAAGCAAGUCUAAGAAGUGGUAGAUCUGUUCUGUGUGAGCUACUUCUAUGCUUCUUCCUGUUCUUACAUUUUUUUUACAUUUUUAGUCAUUUAGCAGACGCUCUUAUCCAGAGCGACUUACAGCAGUGAAUGCAUACAUUUCAUUCUCCGUACUGGUCCCACGUGAGAAUCGAACCCACAACCCUGGCGUUGCAAACACCAUGCUCUACCAACUGAGCCACACAGGACUUUCAGUUUUGUACAUCAAAUCAAGUAAAAUCAAACAUACACGUGGUUAGCAGGUGUUAUUGGUCACAUGGUUAGCAGGUGUUAUUGGUCACAUGGUUAGCAGAUGUUAUUGGUCACAUGGUUAGCAGGUGUUAUUGGUCACAUGGUUAGCAGGUGUUAUUGGUCACAUGGUUAGCAGGUGUUAUUGGUCACAUGGUUAGCAGAUGUUAUUGGUCACAUGGUUAGCAGGUGUUAUUGGUCACAUGGUUAGCAGGUGUUAUUGGUCACGUGGUUAGCAGAUGUUAUUGGUCACAUGGUUAGCAGGUGUUAUUGGUCACAUGGUUAGCAGAUGUUAUUGGUCACAUGGUUAGCAGGUGUUAUUGGUCACAUGGUUAGCAGAUGUUAUUGGUCACAUGGUUAGCAGGUGUUAUUGGUCACAUGGUUAGCAGGUGUUAUUGGUCACAUGGUUAGCAGGUGUUAUUGGUCACAUGGUUAGCAGAUGUUAUUGGUCACAUGGUUAGCAGGUGUUAUUGGUCACAUGGUUAGCAGAUGUUAUUGGUCACAUGGUUAGCAGGUGUUAUUGGUCACAUGGUUAGCAGGUGUUAAUGGUCACAUGGUUAGCAGAUGUUAUUGGUCACAUGGUUAGCAGGUGUUAUUGGUCACAUGGUUAGCAGGUGUUAUUGGUCACAUGGUUAACAGAUGUUAUUGGUCACAUGGUUAGCAGGUGUUAUUGGUCACAUGGUUAACAGAUGUUAUUGGUCACAUAGUUAGCAGGUGUUAAUGCGAGUGUAGCGAAAUGCUUGUGCUUCUCGUUC
rnacentral:lncRNA from 1 species